rnacentral:pre_miRNA from 1 species
GUGACACCCCUGUGGAGCAGGACUUACUUCAAUGGGGCUUUGGUGCUCACUGACUCUGCCCCUUGAAUGUGUCGCU